GUAAAGUUAGUUUAAUAUAAAAUAGUAGAUUGUGGGUUUAUAGAUAAAUUUUUUUUGAUUUACU
rnacentral:tRNA from 1 species